rnacentral:lncRNA from 1 species
UAGAAUUGUUGGAACUAGAUAAUUCAUCACUCUGUGGCCAAGAUGAGCCUCCCACCAUUUCUGGAAGCUGGAACUAGGACAAGGAACAGAUAGCCAUUAAAUUCAACUUUACCAACUUGAAUCGCCCAAUCCACAGAUGAAGUGGGGGAAAGCAGUGGCGAGAACGGAGAUUAUAUGACAAUAAAAUUUUUAAAUAAUUGUUUCUGAUAUUUUGCAAACCAAGUUCUCUCCUUCCAUCUC